CCCCGCGCCCGCGCGCCGCCGCGGCCGCCGUGUCCACGCGCGGCUUUGUCAAUAAAGUUCGCGCGCGCCGGAAGCGGAAGUGGCGAGUCUCCAUGGCGGCGGCGGCGGGGCCGGUGCUCUGGAGGCGGCUGCUGGGCCUCCUUCCGGGCCGCGCCGGGCUGGCUGCGCUCUUGGGGCGCCUGUCCGACCGCCUGGGCAGGAACCGGGACCGCCGGCGCAGGAGGUCACCAUGGCUGCUGCUGGCUCCCUUGCUGUCCCCAACUGUUCCCCAGGUCACGUCCCCACCCUGUUGCCUAUGUCCAGAGGGCGUGCACAGGUUCCAGUGGAUUCGAAACCUGGUCCCAGAGUUUGGCAUCUCCAGUUCUCAUGUCAAAGUCCUCUCUUCCCCAGCAGAGUUUUUUGAGCUCAUGAAGGGGCAGAUAAAACUCGCCAAGAGGCGAGUUGUGAUGGCAUCCCUCUACCUGGGGACAGGGCCUUUGGAGCAGGAACUGGUGGAUUGCCUGGAAAGCUCUCUAGAAAAGUCACUCCAAGCAAAGUUUCCUUCAGACCUCAAGGUCUCUAUUCUCUUAGACUUCACACGGGGCUCAAGAGGCAGGAAGAACUCCCGCACGAUGCUCCUGCCGCUGGCACAGAGGUUUCCAGCCCAGGUCCGAGUCUCCCUCUUCCACACUCCAGACCUCCGGGGACUGCUCCGUCUCCUCAUCCCCGAGCGCUUCAAUGAGACCAUCGGCCUCCAGCACAUCAAAGUGUAUCUCUUUGACAACAGUGUCAUCUUGAGCGGUGCAAACCUGAGUGACUCCUACUUCACCAACCGCCAGGACCGCUACGUGUUCUUGCAGGACUGCCCGGAGGUGGCCGACUUCUUCACAGAGCUGGUGGAUGCGCUGGGGGAUGUAUCCCUGCAGUUGCGGGGGGACAACACGGUGCAGGUGGUGGAGGGGAUGGUGCAUCCCUACAAAGGCAACCGGGCUGCGUAUUGCCAGGCGGUCAAAAAGAGGGUUAUGGAUGUGAUCAACUCGGCCAGGACCCGCCAGCAGGUGCUGCACGCCCAGACCUUCCACAGCAACUCCCUCUUGACCCAGGAGGACGCGGCAGCCGCUGGCGACCAGAGACCUGCCCCCGACACCUGGAUUUACCCCUUGAUCCAGAUGAAGCCCUUUGAGAUUCAGAUAGAUGAGAUCGUCACUGAGACCCUGCUGACGGAGGCGGAGCGAGGCGCCAAGGUCUACCUCACCACCGGCUACUUCAACCUGACCCAGGCCUACAUGGACCUGGUCCUGGGCACCCGGGCCGAGUACCAGAUCCUGCUGGCCUCCCCGGAGGUGAACGGCUUCUUUGGGGCCAAGGGGGUGGCGGGUGCCAUCCCAGCGGCCUACGUCCACAUCGAGCGGCAGUUCUACGGCGAGGUGUGCAGCCUGGGGCAGCAGGAGCGCGUGCGGCUGCAGGAGUACCGGCGGAGGGGCUGGACCUUCCACGCCAAAGGCCUCUGGCUGUACCUGGCAGGGAGCAGCCUGCCCUGCCUCACGUUGAUUGGCUCUCCUAAUUUUGGGUACAGGUCAGUUCACCGGGACCUGGAGGCCCAGAUUGCAAUCGUGACAGAAAACCGCACUUUGCAGCAGCAGCUUCACCAGGCUUUGAUCCCUGUUGCCAGAUGGCCCUUGGGAGAGCUGAGCCUGCCCCCCUUCCUGGCAGCUGUGCGCCAGAGUGCCUGUUUCCUAAGCCUUCAUCACUUGAGCAAGAGCAGCUCUACCUGAGGUCAGGUGCAGUGUCCUCAGCUACCUUUGACCAGCCAAGUCGGCAGGUGAAGCUGUGGGUGAAGAUGGUGACUCCACUGAUUAAGAACUUCUUCUGAGGACAGACAGGGCACCUUUAAAACAUGUCUGUGUGCUUAUCAAAGGCUAAGCCCCCCACGCUGUGUCUACGGAAGCCAGUCACAAAAACCUCCUUGCUCAGACUUUACAUCUUCAAGUGCUUGAACCUUGCACAGAAAAAGAGGCCUUUCCAGAGAAAAGGCUUCUUGGCCCAGGGCAUGGCAACUUUGGAGACUGGAGUUUGGAUUCCAUCCCAGCGUUUUGUCUCUGGAAGCAACUUCCCACCUCUGCCCCCGAGGGCUGAGAGCCCUCACUGCAGCCAUCCCGUGGGGGCCGCCGGCCUGGCCACAGCAGCUUCUGUGUGCAUGUGGGGGCUCUUGGUCUUGGACCAAAGCCAGCUGCAGCACCCCCACCCAGGGCCCGGGCCGAUACUGCGCCUUCAGACAAGCAGCUGGGAGUGGGGUAGAGACGGAGCCCAGGCCUCACCGCCUGGGGGCAGCGCACAUCAGUUAACACUACAAACUAGUUAUUAAAUUGUUCUGCAGGACAAUUAAACUAGAGAAGCCAAAGGAAUGUGCAGGGGCCCUGGGUUUCUGUUUGGAGAGAGGCUUUCGGUAAACAGCAUUAACAUUCCCACAGCUUCCCUGGGACCAGAGUAAACACCGCAGCCACAGUAGGGCUUGAGCAACCGCAGGGCUGGGCCCUGCUCAGGCUGCAACCCUGACUUCAUCCCUUGUUCUCUGCUAAUGAGCGUCAAAAGGUGGCCCUGGGCAGGUCCUCCCGCUCCGCGGCCCACCAGGAGCUCUCCAGAACCGAGGCUCCCGAGCCUUUAAAUCAGAGACGAGAGGCAGCAACGGAACGCUCCAUCCUCCAGGCACCUACAUUACAAAAUGUUUUUUGUCCCAUUCCCUGUUUUUGAAUCACAUGUUGGAAAGUUUGGAGAUAUUUUGUCAGCUAGCUACAGUAUGUACGUGUGGGAUAAGUUCCUGUUUUAUUUCAGGCUUUAAAGACAAAACUGGGAAAACUUCACGUUCUGUGGUUAUUUUCUGGUGGCCACUGGCAGCUUGAGCUCCUUGCGGGGCUUGGACUUGAAGGGCUGCAGUGACCCCUCCUGGCCACCCUGCUUGCCUGGCCGCCGCCCCAGAGGGAUGGACCCUCAGCCCCUGCGGGGAGGAUUCAGGGGCUUCUUGUCCCGCUCACCAGCCCCACCGGGCCCAGGGCUGUUGGGGAUUCUCACCCUCAAGAGUCAGGGACCGCUUGUUCACCCACGGUUAGGAAGGGUGAAUGUACUUGGAAAAAUGUUUUCUUAAAACUUCAGGAUUGGGUUUCACUCAGAACGGGGCCAGGUGUUCCUAGAGGAUCCCUUCUUGUGUCUAAGUCUAAAGACAGGGUGGCAGGGCACCUUUCCCUCUGGAGUCCAUCCCACCUGCAGGUUAGAGACCGUCCUAGCUGCCUCCCUGGCCUCCGGACUUUCAGUUAAUCUCCUUUUGCCUGCACCACAGUGCCCGGCCCAGCCUCAGCCGGCAGCCGGGCCCUCGUGCAUGGUCCUGCCGCAGGACGCCCGGCAGUGCUGGGGCUCGGGUUUGCUGUCUCACUUUUGCUGACCUUGUCCUGAUGGUGGAUGUAGACACCCGCCUGCUGGGCUGAGGGCUGCGCUGUGAGCCGGGUCUGUCUCAGGGCUGGCCCGACUGCUGUCCCUGCAGGCUCUGGGGCAGGAGCCGGGCAAGGGGCACUGCCUCCUGCUGCUCCAGCGGGACCUGACGUGGCCUUUCCUCCCUCUGGACUGGCUUAGGGCAGUUUUUAAAAUUGUUCUACCGAUUCCUGAAACACAGGUAGACCAAAGGCCCGUCCAGGGCAGCGGGGCACUUGGCCCUCCCUUGCCUCGGAGCUGGGUGGGGAAUGCUGAGCAGCUGAGCCCCGGGCCCGGUGCCUCGCCCUGCAUCGUUUGGCGCCUUGCCUUCUGUUCCAGCAGUGCCAUGACCCCUUUCCCGAGCUCACCUCAGGCCUGCGGAACCCUAUGGCUGUAGGAAGUGACCUGACAUGGGGUAGGGGAGGCGGACAAAGGAAAGGGAGACCGCUGCCGCAGGACCCAGGGGCCGUGGGCUUGGCUAAAGACACCCCAGACUCCUGGGGCCUGAGCCCACAUUGGGGUGUCCCUGGACCCACGCUCUUCAUGUCAUGCUCUUGGACAUGUCCUGCUGUGGGGGGCAGUGGGUGAGGGAGGUGCCGCCCCAGAAGUAGCCCCUAUGCGGGAGGGUCUGUGGUAGGGUCGCUCUUCAAAAUUCGAGUGGGCCUGGGGGGAUUAAGAAAGGUUCUUUUGUCCUUGGAGGAGGGAACCUGCCUUAGGAUUCUGUGGAGGCGGCAGCUUCUGUUUCUUUGCCCUCGUUGGGGCAUCAUUUGUGUGUAGCCUCAGCCCAAGGGUAACCCGGCCCAACCUUCUGGGAAGCCAGGCUUUGAGGGUUGAGUCCUCACUGCCAAGCCUGUUCGGGCCCCACGGUGGCCAUCGGACGCAGAGUGAAGGCAGAGGCACGUGCAGUCAGAGGGACGUAACGAAACGCCUGCCAUUGUUUUAAUCUGCUGCCCUCCUGUGCCGCCCACUGCCCCCUGGAUAGUCCCAGUAUGCUUUGGCAUAAAGUGACUCAAUUAUCGGGGAGGAUGAAAGGUGACCCACCAGAGACCAGAGCCGGGCCGAGCUUCCAACUGGAAGUUGGAGAUGGGCCCAGGGGAGCUAGACCUGCAGGAGCAGCGCCACGCCCGCCAGCACCCACUUGGCUGCCUUCUCCUUGGUCCUCAGGUUGAAGGUCCAGACGUAGGUGGGCCCGCGGAUGCGGGUCUUGUAGACGGGGCACUCAUACACGUUCUUGGUCUCCAUGCGAUCCACAGGGAUGGCCUUGAUGAAGAUGACGGGCAUGGCCGGCGUCAGCUCCUUCAGCCGUGCCUCAGCAAUGACUCCCGUCUGCAUGUCCCAGCGGGCUCCUGCGAGACAGCGGCCUCGGGUCAGGGCGGCCGGUUCCUGGCUGGGGUGCCCCGUGGGAAGACAGGGCUGCAGGGACUGGCCGGGGCCCACAGACCCCAGCCUCAGCCCACCCCCCACCCCCUGAGCCCUGGCCUGGUGCCACGAGUCACUUGAAAUGGAGUUAAACGGAGGGCUCUGAGGGCAGUUGAGCACCUGCUGCGUGCCGAGAGCCGCUCAGCUCCAGAGCGCUCAGGUCCCUCUGUUUAAACCUGGCAUUUUCAGAGCCUCGUCCACCAUACUCCUUAAUUUCUGUGGCAGCAAGUCAUAAGUCCAGUUGAAAAUACCAGGCGAUUACAGUUCCCCGACUCCCUACACUGCGUGUUAUUGUGCGGUAUAAAUGACUCUAUGUAUGUAUGCAUAAAUAAAUAUUUGCCUUUAACCAGACCACUCAUUUUCUGCUCACCUUUUUUAACGUUUCUAUUUCCCAUUGCUAAUUCCAAAAUAAACAUGGAGAAUGGC